rnacentral:rRNA from 1 species
GCCAGACUCCUACGGGAGGCAGCAGUGAGGAAUAUUGGUCAAUGGGCGGGAGCCUGAACCAGCCAAGUCGCGUGAAGGAAGAAGGUACUUAGUAUUGUAAACUUCUUUUGUCGGGGAACAAAGGCGGAGACGCGUCUCCGGAUGAGUGUACCCGAAGAAAAAGCAUCGGCUAACUCCGUGCCAGCAGCCGCGGUAAUACGGAGGAUGCGAGCGUUAUCCGGAUUUAUUGGGUUUAAAGGGUGCGCAGGCGGGAGAUCAAGUCAGCGGUAAAAUGUCGGGGCUCAACCCCGGCCGGCCGUUGAAACUGGUUUUCUAGAGUUGGAGAGAAGUACGCGGAAUGCGCGGUGUAGCGGUGAAAUGCUUAGAUAUCGCGCAGAACCCCGAUUGCGAAGGCAGCUCACUGGACUGCAACUGACACUGAUGCUCGAAAGUGUGGGUAUCAAACAGGAUUAGAUACCCGGGUAU